CGUCCGUGUGGAAAACGACUUCCUCCGUAAUGUCGUUCCUACGGCGGAGAAGGGAAGUGGAGAAAACAGCCACAGGACGGAUGUGGGAGCCAAGUUGGUGUCAGAACCAGGUAAUAUCCGGGCUGGGUUUUGAAGAGCCAGAGUGGGAAAAGCUGGGCAACACCCUACCGCAAGGCGCUGGCACUUUUCUCUGUUUUCUGAAUGGAACGAGGACAAGCUCUUGUCAAAGAGAGCAGCAGCGGCGAGCUCAAAAG